rnacentral:ncRNA from 2 species
CGGGAUUGACCCUCCGUUGGCGAUCGGUCAUCGUCGGGUCCAGCAGGGAAGCCGGUGAGAGGCCGGCGCGGACCCGCCACGGUAUGUGACUGAACGCUUCGUCGUGACGCCACUGGGCAAUGGGCCUGGGAAGGUGACGGAGACUGGGGUCACAAGCCCGGAAACCUGCGAGUGCAUGUGUGCCUAC